CUUCCACCACCACUUCCAGUAGCUGGAUGUUAAUAAGAUCAAAAGAGGAUGCUUCGUCUACAUGGGGCUGGGAGGGUCCUGUCAGCUCUUACCUCCCCCUAAUUAUCACCGAGACACAGAGGCAGCCAAGUCCUUUGGAUUUUCACAGCCCCUUAAUCCUGCUGGCAUGUGACUUUUUUGCCCCUACAUCUGAUUUUAAUGUUCAUUUUAAGGUCAGGAGAGCAUAGGGAAGAAACCAAUGAGCUCCUACUCUGUGCCAGCCAGUGUGUUGAUUAUUUUAUACCAUGCUAUAGUGUUUAACUUCCCCAUACAUCCUACUAUGCCUUAUCAGGCACAAUCUAGAGAUGAGGAAACUGUGGCUUGAGGGUGUGGCACUUGCUGUAACAUAUGUAGUUGAUAAAUAGGCAACAUGGGAUAUGAACCCAAUGCUCUCUGGUUCCCAAACUAAUGUUAUUUAUUUUUAAAUGAAUUGAAUUCCAGAAACAAGAUGGCAGGUGAUAAAUAUUGCAGAAUGGGCCAUAACAAUACCUCUCAUAUGGCCAUGAUUGCUAAGUUCAGUGGGGUCACUUAUAAUCAUCACAGAAAUCUUGGCCAAGAUUUGCCUUUCUUAUAAUUAACAGAAUCUUUUCCAUAUCUGGAAGAAGUCCUUCCAUAUCUGAUUUUUUUCUAACAUCUAACUGGUAGACUGAUCUGAGUGGCACAAAGUUUGAGUUCUCCAUUCUGAAGAAGGAUAAAUAAGAGAAAGAGUAGUCAAACUUUUCAUCCUUAUGACUGAUCCUAGGAGGAUUAAGAAAGAGAUGCAAAAGAUUGGAAAACAGCUGUCCAGACCCUGGGGACAUGGUGGGCAGGGACCAUAAUGAGUCAGAGUGUUCUGUCCACUCCAGAUGGCUCCUCUAUAUGUAAGAUUUUAGAAGCUCUUGAGUCAGAUCAUGAUAGGUGGGAAUCCUGUCUCUUCUCUCACUGACUGGAUAACUUUGGCAAGUUCCUCCACUGUUGUAUGCCUCGGUUUUCUUGCCUUUAAAAUGGGGAUAAUAACAGUAGUGUUGUUACGAGGAUUAAUGAAUUAAUAGAUGAACUCAGUCAGCACAAAACUGAAACAUAAUUAGCCCUCAAGCAUUGCUAGUUCUUGUUGAUUAUUACUGUGGUUCUUUGUUAAAAAUCACUUAUUUCAAUGUUUCUCUGUUUGGUGGGAGGUAACGAAAUGAUGAGUCAGAAAGGGAUGAGCUCUUUUGGUGUUAGAAGGACUUUGAGAGUCUCAGAUUAUUUUGGAAUAUGUGAUGGGAAAGGUGGUGAGGAAGCAUCCCAUUUACGUGUUUCUUUCAUCUUUCUUCUUUCUUUCUUUCUUUCUUUCUUUCUUUCUUUCUUUGUGCACAUCCAUGAUAUUGGAGAUAAAUCAGUGUUAUGGGAUGCUGAACCUCAUCCUUUUGGUCAUAAGAUAACUGAGGCACAAGGCUGAGAAGGACCUUCUUGGGAUUACACAGCCAGUGAGAGACAAAGUAAGACUAGAACUCAGCCUUCUGGCUCUCUUUUCCCCAAGGCUCUGCAAAGUGGGCCAACCCUCAGGACACAGCUCUGGGUAACAGAAAUGUGAGGAGAGAACUUUCUGAUUGCCCAGAUCUGAGAACACCAAGAUGCUCAAAGUGCCUCCUGUUCUCAGCUCCCACUACAGCAAAAUCCUUGCUUCCAUUUGUGUUUGAGAAGUUUCUACAAAGAUAUCUUUAAAUUCACGGAUUCCUUCCUCAGCUGGGUCCAGCAUAUUGUGUUCAAAAAUCUCAGGAUGGAGUCAGCUGUUCCUAACAACUUGACUUUUGUAUAUUGAAGACACAUUAAUCCAGAGAAAAUGCAAAAACUAUUACUUAGAGGGGAAAGAGGUACAAGGCAGAGAGCAAUGAGACAUCAACUGCCAGUUCCUUAAAGAGCAAGACAGAGGACAGCCUUCAAGGUAGACAUCAGCAAACAGAGUUCAGUGGAAGCAACCUAAAGACAACUUAAGAAGCUGUGAAGUGUGGAGUCAGAGGCCCUCCCAGCAGUGCAGGCUCAGCACUGACACUGCUUUCAGAUCAUGGUGGCAUCUAGAGGUUGUAGCUCUUAGUGUAGCUUCAUAUCUAUUACCAUUUUAGCCUUGUGUAGCUAUUUAAAUUAUAAUAAAUUAAAAAUUCAUUUCCUCAGUUUCAUUAGUCAUGUUUCAAGUGCUCAAUGACCACACGAGGCAGGCAGCUACCGUGUUAAAGCCUACAGAAGGGAAUGUGUUCUUCACUGCAGAAGGUUCCAUCCAGUAGUCCUGGAUUGAACUUCAUUUCAGUCACUUCAGCUAUUUUCCCUAAGAAAUGUGUUUGGAAUUACUUUUUUUUUUUAACUGUCCCAUUGAAAACGGUGAGAAAAUGGAGUAGAAUUAUUCUGAUAACGAUAAAUCCAAUAUAGACUCUCCAGUGAGAAGAUUAAGUACAAACCUGAAAUUCAAUUAAAAAUAUUGAUUAUCUAUCCAGAACUAUUCCUAUCCCCCUGUGUGCUCUUUUUCUCUU
ensembl:lncRNA